CCUACGGGUGGCAGCAGUAGGGAAUAUUGCUCAAUGGGGGAAACCCUGAAGCAGCAACGCCGCGUGGAGGAUGAAGGUUUUCGGAUUGUAAACUCCUUUUGUUAGAGAAGAUAAUGACGGUAUCUAACGAAUAAGCACCGGCUAACUCCGUGCCAGCAGCCGCGGUAAUACGGAGGGUGCAAGCGUUACUCGGAAUCACUGGGCGUAAAGAGCGCGUAGGCGGGAUAGCAAGUCAGAUGUGAAAUCCUAGGGCUUAACCAUAGAACUGCAUUUGAAACUGUUAUUCUAGAGUAUGGGAGAGGUAGGUGGAAUUCUUGGUGUAGGGGUAAAAUCCGUAGAGAUCAAGAGGAAUACUCAUUGCGAAGGCGACCUGCUAGAACAUAACUGACGCUGAUGCGCGAAAGCGUUGGGAGCAAACGGGAUUAGAUACCCCAGUAGUC
rnacentral:rRNA from 1 species